CAUAAAUAUAUAAUAUCUUGAGGUUGUUAUUCAUCGUCUAUCUUUACACAAUCUGUCAUGAUAAAGCAACCAUGUGACAAAGAAGAGGAAUUUACAACUCUCAAAUUUCACUCUAACGACUGAGAGCUGUGAAAAACAACUCUGACAUUUUAUUGAGGUGUAACAAACAGAUGAGGUGCCCCAGCUAAUUUGGCGUAUAGAGUGGUCCCACCUGCUCUAUACGUGUCUCCAAAGCGCGUUCUUGAUGAUCCAUUGAACUGCGCAUGUGCAAAGCGGCAAUUUCUCUCACUACUGUGCAUGCCUUCUGUAGGAAGCCUAUUACGUAUUAUGGGAAAUCCAUAAUAAUACCAAUAGGCAUGCGCAAAACAGGAGCACUCGUGAAGUCUGAGACGAAUAAAUUAAUCUUAGCGCAUGUGCAGAUCAUCCGGGAGCCGGGUUGAAUUUGCGGACCAACAAAAAGAUGUCCUUGUGGGAAAGUUGCAAAAAUAAGCUAAAUUUCCAUGAAGAUUAAAUGCUGCCUGAAGAAGAAAUACGAUGAAGAAAAAUGUAGUCAUUGGGCUGGGGAUUUAGUAAAAAGGGGGUACAGUGGAGAUUCUCACUCAGGUUUACUUCAGUUCUGGGACAAAAUGGAGGAUCAUUAAAGGGACUGUAAAGUCAAACUUUUCAGUUGACUUCUUUUAUUUAAUGUACUUUGUUCUUUUGGUACCA